rnacentral:rRNA from 1 species
GCUGCAACUCGCCUGCAUGAAGUCGGAAUUGCUAGUAAUCGUGGAUCAGCAUGCCACGGUGAAUACGUUCCCGGGCCUUGUACACACCGCCCGUCACACCAUGGGAGUCGGUAACACCCGAAGCCUGUAGUCUAACCGCAAGGAGGACGCAGUCGAAGGUGGGAUUGAUGACUGGGGUGAAGUCGUAACAAGGUAAC